rnacentral:pre_miRNA from 1 species
GCCUAUGGGUCUGAUCCAAAACCCACUGAAAUCAAUGGAAGCAUUUCCACUGACUUCACUGGGUUUUGGAUCAGACCCUAAGUGC